GCGCGAGUGGCGGAAUUGGUAGACGCACUAGCUUGAGGGGCUAGCGCCCGCAAGGGCGUGCUGGUUCGAGUCCAGUCUCGCGCA
rnacentral:tRNA from 1 species